rnacentral:rRNA from 1 species
AAUAGAUACCCGGGUAGUCCACCCCGUAAACGUUGGGAACUAGUUGUGGGGUCCUUUCCACGGAUUCCGUGACGGCAGCUAACGCAUUAAGUUCCCCGCCUGGGGAGUACGGCCGCAAGGCUAAAACUCAAAGAAAUUGACGGGGACCCGCACAAGCGGCGGAGCAUGCGGAUUAAUUCGAUGCAACGCGAAGAACCUUACCAAGGCUUGACAUACACCAGAACACCCUAGAAAUAGGGGACUCUUUGGACACUGGUGAACAGGUGGUGCAUGGUUGUCGUCAGCUCGUGUCGUGAGAUGUUGGGUUAAGUCCCGCAACGAGCGCAACCCUCGUUCUAUGUUGCCAGCACGUAAUGGUGGGAACUCAUGGGAUACUGCCGGGGUCAACUCGGAGGAAGGUGGGGAUGACGUCAAAUCAUCAUGCCCCUUAUGUCUUGGGCUUCACGCAUGCUACAAUGGCCGGUACAAAGGGCUGCAAUACCGUGAGGUGGAGCGAAUCCCAAAAGCCGGUCCCAGUUCGGAUUGAGGUCUGCAACUCGACCUCAUG